CGCUGGCGGCGUGCCUAACACAUGCAAGUCAACUUGACGGAAGGAGCAAUCUGACCGUAGAGUGGCGCAAGGGUGCGUAACGCGUAAGUAACUUGCCCAAGGUAAGGAAUAACGUCGAGAAAUCGGCGCUAAUACCUCAUAAUGCAGCGGAUCCGCAUGGAUAUGUUGUUAAGGUUUACCGCCUUGGGAUAGGCUUGCGUCUGAUUAGCUAGUUGGUGUGGUAACGGCACACCAAGGCUACGAUCAGUAACUGGUCUGAGAGGAUGAUCAGUCACACUGGAACUGAGACACGGUCCAGACUCCUACGGGAGGCAGCAGUGAGGAAUAUUGGGCAAUGCUCGAAAGAGUGACCCCAGCAACGCCGCGUGGAGGAUGAAGGUAUUCUAUAUCGUAAACUCCUGUGAGAGCAGACGAAAGACAGAUUAUUAAUCUGGAUGACUGUAUGCUCAGAGGAAGCCCCGGCUAACUACGUG
rnacentral:rRNA from 1 species